rnacentral:tRNA from 1 species
CGAAAAGCUCAGUUGGAAGAGCGUUAGACUAUAAAUCGAAAGGUCCCUUGUUCGUUCCCGGGAUUCGG